rnacentral:lncRNA from 1 species
CCUGUGUGCCUGAUAAGCAAGGGCUGUAUGAGUGAAGUCAUAGUCUAAGUCUCGGCUAUUUAAAGUAUACACUAGAUGGUGGUGAGGAUAUUGGGGUUGUGAGAAAAGAGUGUUCCAGGUGGAAGAAUCAGCAUAUGCAAAUUCCUAGGAGCUUGAAGAAACCGAGAAUCGUUGUGGGGUUGUUAAGAUUUUAGCCUGACUAGAAUAUGGCUGUACAGAGUACGGCUGGGAGAUACUGAUACUGCAGCAAGAGGAGGUCACGCAGAAAAGACCCCUGUGAGGCCUAAUAGGAAGUCUUCAGUUUGUCAUCACAGAAAUGAAAAUCAGUAAGAUUUUAUCCAUCUGAACCGAGCAAGCAACAGAAUGCAGACAAAUCACUAAGACUGGCUAUGGUGGGAAGGAGUGGGGAAGAGGCUCCUAAUGUGUUGUAAAACCACAGGAAAGAUAAAGGUAGUCUAAUGAAAUGAAAAUACUGAGAUUGGGGCCCCAGAUGGCUGAGUACAAGCAGCCAGUGUGCACUGCGCUCAUGGAAAAGAGAAAGAGGAACAAGUGAGCACUAGCUCCUCAACUGGAUGGGCCAGGCGUACACACUGGGGUUAAUCAAGGAAGCAACACAAUCCACAAAGAACAGAGAAGAGCAAGACAGGACAGCCACCUCCUCAGGACUGGCACAGACUCAGGGGGAGGCUCCCCACUGCCGGGAAACGUGGCACAUUAGCAGAGAUCAAGAUCCAAAUACAAGAUUAAUUAUCUACACUGCACUCCCCAAUCUGGAGGUCACUAGCCACAUGUGGCUAUUCAGCACUUGGAAUUUGGCCAGUUCUGGAAAUGGAAAACACACAGAUUUCAAAGACAUUAAGAUGAAAAAUGGUCUGUAAACGAUCCCAUUUAUUAAUAUAUUAAAGUUAUUUUAGAUGUAUUGAUUGGAUAAUUAAAUUGAUUUCAACU